AUCAAUACACAUACGGCUUUAUUGUCCUGAGCACAAAUAUAAUACAUAUACAUGUGUGUGUGUGUAUGUGUAUAUGUAUUAUAUUUGUGCUCAGGACAAUAAAGCCGUAUGUGUAUUGAUA